rnacentral:lncRNA from 1 species
UUGUUCAAGAGUUGGAUAUCUCUUGAGAAGUGUAAAGGGUGCUUGGAGCCAAAAGUCCAAGAGGGUGAAUUGGAACAAUAAUCCAAUUGUAUUGCUUGAAGGCUUGGUUUGGAAGCCUUGGAUUAGUGGAACCUCAAGCUCGGGAUUGAAGCUAGAGGAGAGUGGAUGUAGGCCGGGUUGCGCCGAACCACUAUAAACUCUUGUGUUUGCAUUCUCUCUUCCCUACUCUUUAAUUUAUAUGCAAUUGUCUAUAUAUUGAUUAUUAUAUAUUUGCAUAUAAUUGUCUCUUACAUUCACUUGUUUAAAUUUGCGAAAAAAGACCAUCACCAUAUUCACCCCCCCCCCCCCCCCUCUCCCCCUCUAGGGGGAUUACCAUAGGUUGGAUUAACCUCAAAUUCCUAACAAACAGGAAUGCUAUUCAGAAAAGAACAGGAAGAACAAUAAUUUCUAAUUUAUACCUAGGGUAUUUAUUCAAAAAAUUACAUUUUUACCCCUCUUUCAUUUUAUUAAAUUAAUUAAUUAAUUAAUUUAAUUAUUAUUAUUAAUUUCCUAAAGUAUCCCUAAAAAAAAAAACUUGGGCGUUACAUUUUAUAUCUAACGUUUUAUUUUUAAUCAUUCUACACAUGUUUAUAUAAUUAUUUCUUAAAACAAUUCUCAGAAAAUAAUAGAAAACAACUAAAAGAUGUUUUCUGAAAACAACUUAUUUUCUAUUUGUAAGAAAAAAAAUAGUAAACAAUUUUUUAUUGUCAUACAUGUUUUUUUGUGUUUUUUUUCUUAUGGAGAACAAAAAUUGUGCUAAAAAACAAUUACCAAACAAAACCUGAACUUUUAAAAUUUGUUUUUCAUUCAUAAUUUCAAAUAAAUUAAAUAAAAGAAUAUUAAAAAAAAAUGGGGCUUACAGAAUAUCUUAAAAGAUAUGUUCUCAGAAUUCUCCAUUGAUAAUUGAUACCACAUGCUCUUUUUUUUUUUCCCAUUCGUUCCCUCACAGGAUUAGCUGAUUCCUAUUCCCCCCCUUAACAACCACAUCCUAAUGAUAGUGAAUAGUACUUCAGAUUGCAACCUCCAAGAAUACUAAAAGGCAAAACAAAAGGCUUACCAGUAGCUCCAUCUUCAUCACAACCAGGAAAAUUAUAGAGAUACUCAUCAAUUAUGAUCGCAGUAGUAAUAAUAGAUUAAUUGGACGACAAGAGAACAUUAUAUUAUUUAAUAUCCGUUACAUCACCUUCUUUCCUCUAAGUGUAAUUAUAUGGUCAGAAUAUUCAAUAUAACAAACCAAAAUUCCCCAUCAGCUGGGUAUAACAUGGGAACCAUAUUCCUGUUUCUCUUCUUUGUUCUGAGAGGAUGUGGGAUAAGAAAAAAAAAUGCCUUCCUAGAAAAGAUAAAAGAAAAAAAGGGUUCAUCUCUGUUUUCUUUCUGCAUCUGCCUCACCCCUUUCAUUCUACAUUUGCUUCUCCAUGUUUUUUGAAUUAGGAGGGCAAUAAUCAGUAUAGAUACCUGUAUGUCUGUUUUGGUUUGAUCAUAACUCAUCAUGGACAUCUGCUUCUGCUUCCUCGUUGGGCUUGCCAUCUGAAUCCCCUGCGGCUGAUUGAUCAUCUUGGGAGGAGGGAGUCUCCUCAGAUGAUGAGUUGGAAGCAUUUGCUUUCUCUCACUGCUAGCCCCAUUGUUUGUGGUUUCAUUCUUUGUGGGCUUCUCAAUUUUUGGCUUUGGCUUAGGAAUUCGGUUGAUGCUGGCAACCUAGAGAAAUACGGAUGAUCAAUUCAGUCCAAGAGGGUAUCACAAAUCCAUAUGAUGAACUGGAAAUCGCAUCUACAUUUACUUAAGGAAGAAACUGCAAUCAUACCUUCUCUUGAAAUUUGAAAAUUUUCUCAUACACCUCAUCUGAGGUAAAUGCAGGAGUGCUGAAUCCAGAAGUCCUGUAAAAAGAAAAAGAAAAUGUGUAUAAGAAGUCUUGCAAGCAGGCAAAACUCCAUUUAGGUAUAAAUAAAGCAAUUUUUAAGGUCAAAAAUUGCAAAUGAUCAAUUCAAACAACAGAACAAUGUUCCUUGGCAGCCCUGAAUGAAAAAAUUCACUCAACUGCCUUCUCAAUUUCUGUGUAGCAACUCAGAAAUUAAAAAGAAUGUGCACUCAGAUUUAAAGCUGAAGGCAUCCUUCUGCUCAUUACAGAUAUGAUCUUGCAGCAAGGAGAGUAAAAUUAAAAAUAGAAGAACACGUCCUUGCAUUAGAAUAUAUGAAGAAAAAUCAAGCAGAAAGUUCAAAAACAAGCACCCAAGUUUGCAGUAUCCUGCUCAACUUAUAACACCCAGCUUCUACUAUAAAUGUGCAGAACAAACAAAAAAUCUUUAUAAAUAAGGGUUUUUCAAAACAAAUAGAAAACUAACCAAAAUAACCAUAAGCAGAGUAUGAAUCCUAGGUGCCAAUCCAAAACUAAUCCAACCAUGUUCAGUUCCCAAAAUUUUGACCCAAAACUGAAACAUGAUAUAUUAGAACAGAGCCAAACCAACAAUCAUUUAGUUUGAUUCUAGGUUAAGCAUAUAUUGAGAGCAGACUCAACAUCCGCUGUCUCAACAAAAUAGUUUUUUAAACAAGUUCCUAAAAAUUGUUUUCAAGGACAAAAUUCAGUUUUGAAAAUUCAAAUAUGGAAAACAGUUUUUUUGGCAUGUUCUUUAUGAAGACACUGUUUACGCAUGCAUGAUGCAGGAGUUCCUGACCUAUUUUCCAUGUUUCCAAUUGUUUUUAGAGCACUCUAAAAAAACACCCAAAAACACCUCAAAUUUUUUUCUAAAAGUUUACCCCAUUCUCAGAACAAAUUUUGUCAAACAUGUUUUUAGAGGUUAGAAACUUGUUUUCUGAUUUAAAGAACAAAAAGUUAUUUUCAAGAACAGUUUCUAAACAGCCCUUAAAAGAUUUCGUAUUCUUUUCCAUUUCUUUUCCUAGCUAGGGCAACAGCUAAGUCUAGAUAUUAUCAAUGCUUCAGCUCAUUCAUUAGUUACCACUUUGUCCCACACCACAAAAGGAUCCUAGAGAAGCAGUUUGACUAGGUAUUAGAAGACACCUGGCACACCAAGAAAACGUACAAACCAACUUACUUUUUCUGCUCGGCCUCUUUCUCUUCCAACCAAUUUUUGACCUUGUCACCAUCACUCAGGACCUGAAAAUGAAAAUUGUGCUUAUCUAUAUAUCUCAUAAAACAUAACAUAAUACCAAUCCAAAUAUAUUCAAUUUUCAUUUAAGCAUAUCUAAGUUGAAAUUAAGUGGGAUCCAAAUCAAAGAAAAUGUGAUCAAGCACCUCAUCUAUUUUAUCUUUCAGAAGCCAAGGUUUCUUUGUCUCCCAGUCCUGUACAAUCUGCAGAUGCUCAGAAGAGAAAAAGUCAAUCACUGUUCCCAUUCGCUUUAAAUAACUCAAGAAGUGCUGCAAAAGUACACUGAAUGAAAUGUACAGAUAAAAAGGUUCAUUUAUCUUAUCAAGCUUUUUUUGUCUUCUUUAACUCUUCAACAACCACCAUCUAUCCACCCAUGUAUCAUGCAUUCCUGUAGCUAGUGCAUUCAUGCAUAUAAAGACACAAAGUCCAGAAAGGAUAACAAGAACUAUAAGCCACCAAAUUCUUACAACUUAGACAUCUAAAAUACCUGUUUCAGCUGACCAAGGUAUUUGCGAGCAUCUUCCAUUGCCGCUGGCCAUGCAGUAAGCUCAUUCAAUCUACAAUCAGUAAUUCAUCAGCUAGAAUAAGUCUUGUACUCAACAAAGUAAAGGUUUUCUAAGUUUUUUGAUAGGCUAGGUUUUCUAAGCAGUUACUGAGAAUUGGGCUAGACCUGAAAAAUAUUGGGUCACCAAUAGAUUUUAACAAAUCUAGACGUUCUUGAAACUCAGCAGCUGUAGCAUCUUCACCAUCAGUAUACAACCAUUCUUGCACCUAAAAAUAUAACAUGAUAUCAAGUCAAAACUUUAAGUUGAAUGUGCAUGUGUAAAUAUAUAACAGACUCUGAACUUAGGCUAACCUCAUCAAGCUUUUCAAUAAAGGACUGGCGUUCCUGAGUGGUUGAUAUCUUCUCUAACUCCUCAGAUGAUUCAAGCUGGUAUAACCAAUCAUGUUAUCAGCAAGAUGGGGGAAAAGUUAUACAUGUUAUGCAGUUAAAAGAAAACUAACUAUAAUAUGGGGGAAAAAAGAAACAUUACAUGUGAGAGAGAAUAAUGCAAAGGAUGACAACAUAAUAUAGGACAACCAUCCCAUUUCCCCUUAAGAAAUGCAAGAUGAAUUCAUCAAAAGCUUCGAACCUUUUCUUUAGUAGUAUAGAUGUAUCCUUCCAGAUUAUUUUUUAACUCUGCAGAUCUACGCCGCUCUACAUCCUUUUUGUCCAAUGCUUCCAACUUGUGUUUAGCUUCAGCAAUUAAUUCUUUUGAAAGUGGCAUUCCAGGUGCCACUGUCUUCUCAACUACCUAUGAUCAUUAAUAACAAUAAUCAUUAAUAGAAGGAUAUGCAAGAUACAGAUUCUGAUUUAAGAUACAGCAUGCAACGGUCUCUUUCACGUGGAUUUAAGUUUUAAGCUAAUUUGUACCUUCAGUGGAACCCUAAAUGUUCACUUUUUCAGUUUUUUUUUCUGUGCCAAGAUCCUUGUCACUUUGAUUUUCAGUGGCAUUGGAUGUGUUAUCAAUCCUGCCAUCAGUAUGCAAGUUUUCAUUGCUGUCUUCUGAAGCAUUAUGAGGACUUGUUUCAACUGAUAUAUUGGGGGAUGCAGCAGAUGAAUUCUCCAGAGUCACAUUCACUUUGGGAACUUCAAUCCAUUCUGUUAUUUCAGUAACAGCAUCUGCUCGAUCCAGAGAAAGUAUCCCACUUCUACUAAGAGAGAAAUGCAGAUUUGCCUUGAUGGGAGAAGACAGGUUCCGAGAAGAGUAUCUGCAAACAAGAAGAAAGACUUCAAAUUCGACCAAUUUAUUUGAAGGUUUCAUGCAGAUGAAUAGGUCAUCAGUGUUUUAAAAAGCAUUAAAGAAAACUGAAAUCUCCAUGGCAUGUAGAAGUUGUUGAUCCUUACUUUGCACUAGCAUCUGCCAAACCAGACACGGCAUACUGAGCAAAUCUAGGAGAGGAAACACCAGGCGGUAGAAGAUCUUCAUCCUCAUAUGAAAGUGAAACAUCAAAAUCUUUGUCAUGGAUAAUGGAUCUGAACAUCUGCUACAAAGGAAGACACAAAAAUGACUGACUAGAACUAAAAACACAGAAAUAAUAGCUCGAAAUUCUGUUCUACUAUUUUCCCUCUAAUAGAAUCGGUUCAAUACCUUACUGGGGAGUUUUUUCAUUCUUGGGACAAUUAACUGUCUAGUGCUUUCAUCUUUCAAAAGACCAGGGCCAUCUAACUCAACCACGAGUCCAUAUGAAGAACCAUCAACCAUUCCUAGCUUGCGAUUCAAUUUGAUUCCAUCACUUAAAUUUGCAGCAUGUAGUGCAGCACCAAGAACUAUAGCUUCAUCAGCAUCCAGAUGUCUGUCCAGAUCCUUCCUUCCAAGAAAUUCCUGAAGCUUUGCCUGAAAAAGGAAAAAAACAAUGAAUUUUGCUUCAACAAACACAUUGUCAAUUGAUACAGCUGAGGUCUGAUGGAUAAUACAUGGGACACUAAUGCAGAACACACAUUAUGUAUCAAUUGAUAACACACGUUAUGCUUUGAUACAGAAGAAUACAGAGAAGGCCAAAACCAGUAAAAGCUUCAAAAAAUAGUUGUGCAAAUAAGGAUCUAAAAUCAUAUAUGAGUACUAUGUGCCAAUGAAUUGAUACACAAAUGUAGAUUGUAUUAUAAGUAUGAACGAGCAUCCUCACACCAACAGUCAAAACCCACAAUACUGGCAUUUGUGAAAUCCAGAAUAUUGUUACACACUCAGCAUACACAACAAGAUUGGUCUAUCACAUCUAUGAGACAGAGCAAGUUAAAAAUGGAUGCUUUGCUCAAAGUUGAUAUCACUGAUAAUGACUGCAGCAGCUUUACAAUUAAAUGCAUGCUUGAGAAUUGUGUAAGGUUCAGUUAUACUACAUUUUUUUUUUUUUUGAUAGGUAAGGUUCAGUUAUACUACAUGUAAUGUUGAUUUAGCAGUCAUCAGGGAAUCUCUGAGAAUUUUUUUAUUAGAUUCAAUAUAUAGACAUUUUGUUUAGUACUCUUCCACCUUGGAGUUCAAAAUGUAAAUAAUUUUCCAAUAACAGGUUCUCAAGCAGAGAAUAGGUGGAACACAAAAGCCUUGACAUAACAGCCCUACAAGAACAAGAAACAAAGCUUUUAACUAAAAAACAUGAAUUUAAGAUAAUUUAUCUGGCACAACAUUUACAACUAUUUAGUACAUUGGGAUAGUUAAUUUAAACUAAAGUCAGUGCUGCUUCUAUGCACAGAAAAUGGCAAUAUGUAAAACUGGAGGAAGGAAAUGCAAACCUGCAACUUUGGCACUCGAGUGGCACCUCCUAUCAGCUCCACUGCAUAUAUCUCAUCAACCUUCAAACCUGAAUUCUUAAGCACUUCCUUCACAAGAAUAAGAGAUCUCUCCCACAAAUCUUCGCAGAGCUCCUCAAACUUCUCACAAGUUAUGGCACUCCUGGCAGAGAAAAAGCAAAUCUCUGAUAAGAAAAAUUAAUAAUGUUUAGCUUAUUUACCUAAGCCAACCAUCAAACGCAUAACUCCAAGGUAAAGGAAGUAAAUUAUAACCUACAUCUAGGGUAUUUGUCCUAUCUAGGGUAUAUCUAGAUAAGCAAUGGAAACUGCAAAAUAAAACACAUUUGUCAUAGAGAGUCGAAGCAAUAUAGUUUUAUCAAACUAACAGGUCCUCUCCUUUUUAACCCCUUCAUUCUAUGCCAGCUACUUAGAAUGAAGUUUAGUUCUAAAAUUUUAUUGUAGGAAAUGGAUGCUUCCAAAAUAAUGGAUUUCCUUAACAGACAACCCAAUAUCACUCUUAUGCCCAGAGCCUAUCAACAUUUUGCAUGGUUUGAAUAACUUCCAACAACAAACCAAUAAACAUUAAUUUCAAACAUCUGUGUGUACUUUCAUGGGAUAGACCUAUCCUUUUUCAAGAACCAUUGACAUAAAUGCAUGGCUUAUAAACAAUGAAUCAAGAAAAUAGAACUUGGCUUUCCAAGUUAUUCCUCUGUUACUUGGUUAAUUAUGGACCAACUUGAAAUGUAUGGUCAAACAAAAUUUAUACUAUCAAUUGUUUUUGAGCACUCAUUCACCUCAUUGCAAUAAAAAAUAGACAUUUUGAGCUCAAUCCAGCAUCCAUUUGGUGAGUGUCCACCGUAGAAUCAAUUAUCAACAUUUGGGCCAGAAUUAAAAGCAUAUUCAAACUGCAAACUUAUUCACUAUGUCCUUACAGUUCUAACUUUCUGUACUAAACAAAGGAUAACCAAAAACUGAUGUUGGACAGAAAAGACUAGCAAGGAAGUAUAUGAUUGGACAUACCUGAAGUCUCAAUCAUCAUAGAGGGAUUCUAUUGAUAUUGGAGCAGCCGUGUUCGCACUUAGAAUUUCUUUUGUCCGCUUAACCUGUUUCUUCAAUUUAGCCAUUGCCUUGGGGAACUUCCUCACAUCAACUCCAUUUCCAACUUGUUGGUUGAACUCAUCUGCAAAAUACUCCACUAAACGCAUUUCCAUAUUUUGGCCACCAAGCUCUGGAUCCCAGCUAACAUCCUUAACCUACAAUUGUAUCCACAGGUGGAUAGAACACCAAGUUGAUUAGAAGUUACAAAGAUGUGUACAACAUUAAGCAAAAUAUCGGAUAGGAAUGAAACUGCAUAUAAAAUGAGGAUGGCGACAAUGAUAAAUGAUUUAAAGGGGGUUACAAUUACCCAAUCAACAAUGUAAAUACAUAUGCACAGAUUGAAACAAUAACACAGACAAUAGUGACAAAAAACUAAAAUUAAAAACAAGCUAACAGAACCAUUAAUCAUCAGGGUCUUGUAUAUCAAUCUUCUGCAAUAUAAUCUCAAUCAACAGCUAUAAACCACCCAAUUAGAGUGAUAAAUGAUUCCCAGAAGACCCAAUCUUCACAAAUUAAUUAACAUUUGCUCAAAAUUAAGUAGAAAAAAUAACUAAAUCUUCAACCAACAAAUUUCUACAAAGGAACCUAAGUACCACAAACUAAGACAGAGUUUGAUAAAACUGAAAGUUUAGCAUACGAAAAUUUUUUAAUGUUGAAUUUGUAGUACUUAAAACUUCAAGCAGCUAAAAGAAAUAAAUAUGAUAAGGAUAAUGAAGAAUUUCUGAAUUCCUUUUAUUGAUUUUUUAGGUACACACCAUACACAUAUAUAUACACAAAUGACUGAAUAAAAAAAUAUCAAUCUAGCUUGAUUCUCUCCUAAAAUUAGGAAACUGAAUCAUCCUAAAUGAUCUCUCCUUUUUUAUUCCUAAAAUACUUUCCUAAAUUAAAAUCCUAACUUUGAAUGCCAAAUUUCAACACUCCCCCUCAAGCUGGAGAAUAUAUAUCAUAUAAUCCCAGCUUGCAAGUUAAGUCUUCGAAGUUAGGCCUAGGUAAAGCUUUGGUGAGGAUGUCUGCGGUUUGGUGCUUGGUAGGAACAUAGUUCAAUUUAACCGUCUCACUAAUCACCUUCUCUGUGAUGAAGUGUCUGUCAAUCUCAACAUGCUUGGUUCUGUCAUGAUGCACGGGGUUCUUUGCUAUGCUUAUAGCUGCCUGAUUAUCACACAUCAUCAGAAUUGGAGAUGAACUCGUUUGUCCCAGUUCACUAAGAACCCUUUUUAUCCAAAUCCCUUCACAGAUUCCCUGUGCAAGAGCUCUGUACUUAGCUUAUGCACUACUUCUGGCUACAACUGAUUGCUUCUUACUCCUCCAGGUAACAAGAUUUCCCUAGACAAAAGAACAAUAUCCAGAAGUGGACCGCCUGUCAAUGAUGUUUCCUGCCCAAUCCGCAUCUGAGUAUACUUUAGUGUCACGGUUCUCUGUCUUUCUGAAGAAUAGACCUUUCCCUGGUGUCAUUUUUAAAUAUCUAAGAAUCCUGUAGACUGCUUCCAUGUGUUCCUCAGUGGGGCUGUGCAUGAAUUGACUUACAGCACUCACUGCAAAGCCAAUAUCUGGCCGAGUGUGUGAGAGAUAAAUCAAGCGCCCGACAAGCCGCUAAUAUCUCCCCCUGUCUACCGGUGUACUUUCUUUCUCGAUACCAAGUUUCUUCUGGCUAUCCAUAGGAGUAUCAAUUGGUUUGCAUCCAAGCAUACCAGUCUCCUUAAGAAGAUCGAGUAUGUAUUUUCUUUGAGAGACUACAAUUCCCUUCCUUGAUCUAGCCACUUCCAUACCAAGGAAAUAUUUCAAAUUUCCAAGGUCUUUAACUUCAAACUCUUCUGACAAAUACUUCUUCAACUUCUGUAAUUCCUCCAUAUCAUUCCCAGAUAGAAUAAUAUCAUCGACAUAGACUAUCAAUAUGGCCAUUUUCCCGACAUGAGACUUCUUGACAAAUAGAGUAUGAUCAGCCUGACCUUGUUUGUAGCCCAGCUUCAGGAUUGCUUUUGUGAAUCUAUCAAACCAGGCUCGGGGAGAUUGUUUAAGGCCGUACAAGGAUUUUUGGAGUUUGCAAACCUGAUUCUUUGCCAUACUUUCUUCGAAACCAGGUGGUAUUUCCAUGUAGACUUCCUCUUCUAGGUCACCAUUUAGAAACGCAUUUUUUAUGUCCAGUUGUUGCAAGCACCAAUCUUGAUUGACAGCCAAUGAGAGAAGAAUCUUGAUAGUGUUCAGUUUUGCAACAGGAGCAAAAGUCUCCUGAUAGUCUAUCCCAUAGGAUUGUGUAAACCCUCUAGCUACCAAACGAGCCUUGAAUCUCUCGACUGAUCCAUCUGCUUUGUAUUUUAUGGUGAAAAUCCACUUGCACCCCACGGGCCUCUUCCCAACCGGCAAAUCUGUGAUAGUCCACGUCCCAUUCUUCUCAAGUGCAUCAAUCUCAUCUUGUACUGCCUUCUUCCAUUCUGAAAUUUUUAAUGCCUCUUGUAUUGUGUUGGGAACCUGAGUAUCAUCAAGAGAAGUAGCAAAUGCUCUAUAAAAUGGUGAUAGCCCUUCAUACGUAACAUAAUUCCCAAUUGGAUGAUCUGUACAUCUCCUAACACCCUUCCUCAAUGCAAUCGGCAGAGUAGAAUCAUCAAUGCUUGGAAUUAACACCUCUCCAGCCCUAUCCUCACCUAUGUUCUCUUCAGGAAGACUUGAAUUGGAGUCAAUAUAUUGGCCACAUGUUGACUGUGAUCCGUGCUCUAAUUCCUGUCUUUUUCUCCUCCUGAUAUAAACUUGUAAGUUCUCAUUAGCAAGUUGUGGGGCUAUAGGUUGAAUAGGCAUGGGAGACUGGAUGGUCACGGGAGAAAGAACAUUUGUGUGCUGGGCUGGCUGGACUGAUGAUGGCAUGGGUGUGGACAACUCAGUGGGCGCGAAUUGGGAAGGAUUUGGUGACUCUGAGUGACAAGAAGGUACAUCCUCAAGAAGAGACUCCCAAACUUGAUGUUCAUUCAUGCUCUCCCCCUGAACAUGAGAUUUGGGAUAGAAGAAGACAUGUUCAAAGAAAGAGACGUCCAUGGUGGUGUAAAAUCUUUUGUUGGUUGGAGAAUAGCAUUUGUACCCUUUUUGGGUUGGAGAAUACCCUAGGAAAAUGCACUUAUUGGCUCGAGGAGCAAAUUUGCUACGAUUUUGAGGAUACACAUGAACAAAUGCCGUGCAUCCAAAUACUUUGAGUGGUAAAUCAAAAGAGGCUGCACGGGUGUGAGGAAAUUGUUUUAAGAAAAGUUGACGUGGGGAUUGAAAGGUAAGCACUCUGGAUGGCAUACGGUUAAUCAAAUAGGUAGCUGUGAGAAUAGCUUCCCCCCAGAAAUAGUUUGGAACAUUAGAGGAAAACAUAAGGCACCGGGCAACCUCCAAGAGAUGUCUAUUCUUGCGUUCAGCCACCCCAUUUUGUUGUGGGGUGUCAACGCAAGAACUUAUGUGGAUAAUGCCGUGAUUUUGAAGAUAAGUACUGAGACUACUAGUAAAGUAUUCCUUUGCAUUAUCUGACUUGAGGACUUGAAUUUUGGAAUUGAAUUGAUUUUGAACCAUAAGAUUGAAGGUUUGAAAAAUGUGUCCGACCUCUGACUUUUCUUUCAUAAGGAAAACCCAUGUUACCCGUGUAUGAUCAUCAACGAAUGUCACAAACCAUCGAUUGCCAGAAAUAUUUUUUAUCCAGGAGGGACCCCACACAUCACUAUGUACUAGAGAGAAAACAGUCGAAGGUUUGUAUGGGAUUUGAGGAUAUACUGUUCAAGUAUGCUUUGCAAACUGACAAAUUUCACAGUGAUAAGAUGCUGGAUUUUUAUUGAUAAAUAAUUUGGGAAACAAUUUUGCAAGGUAAACAAAGCUAGGAUGACCAAGGCGAUAGUGUAACAUUAUAAUCUCACUAUUUUUAUUGACCUUAGAAUUUGACACAGAAUUGAAAGACUCUAACAUACUCUGAGACUGUACGCAACUUGCUUGAGAGACUUGGUUUGAGAAUUGGCCACAUGAGAGGAGGUAGAGCCCAGAACACAAUUCAGCACUGCCAAUCAUCUUUCCCGAUUUCAAGUCCUGAAAAACACACGAGUUUGGAUAGAAUUUAGUAACACAUUGGAGAUCACGGGCCAAUUUGCUAAUGGACAAAAGAUUACAAUCCAAGUUUGGAACAUGGAGGACAGAGUCAAGAUAUAAGUCUUUAGUAAGUUUUAUAGAACCUGUCCCGGCAAUUUUUGACUUUGAACCAUCAGCAAUAUGGACGGAUGAAUGACCAUUACUUGGCUUGUAAUUUUGAAGAAUGGCAGCAUCUCCUGUCAUGUGAUCAGAAGCACCUGUGUCCACUAUCCACGGCUUCAUUCCUCCUCGAUUAGCAGUGAAGGCUAUCCCAGUAGUACUGCCACUGCCAACUUGGCUUAAUAGUUUUUGUAGCAUCUCCAUCUGCUCUUUGUUGAAUGGACUCGGCUCGGGAACAGAUGUGCUCUCAGAGUUGGCAGCCACGUGUGCUCUGCCAUCUCUGUCAGACCGUGGCUUUGGUUUCCAAUCAGUCGGUUUGCCAUGAAGCUUCCAGCAAGCCUCCUUAUAAUGGCCUGGUUUCUUACAAUAAUCACACCAAGGCCUAUCCCGUUUCUGACGAUCUCCAUCACUACUAUUAAAUGACCGAGCAGCAAGGGCAGAGGCAUCCAAUGUUGGGGCAGGUUGCUCUUUGGAUCCCAUCAUCACUUUCUUUCUACUUUCUUCACGCCUAACAUCUGAAAAAACCUCCCUGAGACUUGGAAGGGGUUUAAUGCCCAUGAUUCGGCCUCUAACAUCAUCCAAUUCCCUGUUUAGUCCUAGGAAAAACUUGAACAGUCUCUUUUGUUCCACAAUUUUCCUGUAUGUUGCUGCAUCAUCCGAACAUUUCCAUGAGUGAGUCUCGAAUAAGUCAAGUUGCUGCCAAUACCUUGUGAGUGUGUUGUAAUACUGAGUAACUGACUGUUCUCCUUGGCGGAAGUCAUGUAAGGCUGAUUCAACCUGAAAAAGUUCUGAAGUAUUUUCAGAACUUGAGUAAGUUUCUUUGGCUGCAUCCCAGAUGUCCUUUGCAGUCCUAAAUAGCAAAAAAUUUUCACCUAUGUCAUUGUUCAUGGAAUUGAUAAGCCAUGACAUGAUCAUGCUGUUUUCAAUCUUUCACUUCCUGAAACCCGGUUCUGUAGUUUCUGGCAUGGCUGCUUCUCCAGUGAGGUACUCAUCCUUUCCUUUACCGCAAAUGAACAGCAACACAGAUUGUGACCAUUGUAAAUAGUUAUGGCCAUUUAAUUUGUGUCCUGUAAUGAGAAUAGGAGAGGAAUCACUGCCACCAAGGUUUGGAAUUUCAGAUCUGCCCCCUGAUUCUGGUGACGUGACGCUGGAUACUUGUGAUGAUGUCAUUCCGUAUUUUGUCAUGGACCGGAAAGGUAGAAGAACACUUCCCAAGGCACGUGCAGGGAUUGGAGUUGAGAAAAAAUAGCCGGAGGACGCCGGAAAAACUGAUCGAAGGGCCCGCGGAGGCAAAAGAACCCCAAAAGAGGCACGUGCAGGGCUCGGAUGGCAGAAACAGGUAAGAAGGGUGGUUGGUCGGCGUCAGGCGAGCCUGGAAGAGGAAGCGCGUCGCCGAAAAUUGGCUCACGCACCCUCACGCGUCGGCGCGUGAGAUGCAGUCGCCAGCCGGAAAAACGCGCGUGGCCAGCGCGUGGAUGGUUUUCUGACUCCGGUGCUUUGGGAAAAAUUGGAGAUCUCCUCCAGGCGGUCCUUGCAGUGUAGAAAAAACCGUCGUCGGAAAAGUUCGCCGGCGGUGAAUGUUUUCUGACGACGAUUCGACCGACCGGAAAGCGUUUUCUCCCUUGGCUCUGAGAACAGGGACUGAUGACCGGAAUGAGAGAUGGCCAGAGAGAGAGAUGGUCGGAUUGAGAGAUGGCCAGAGAGAUUUGGCCGGAAUGAAUGAUGGCCUGAAUAAGAGGUGGCCAGAAGGGAUUAGGGUUUCAAAAAACUGGUUCUGAUACCAUGAAGAAUUUCUGAAUUCCUUUUAUUGAUUUUUUAGGUACACACCAUACACAUAUAUAUACACAAAUGACUGAAUAAAAAAAUAUCAAUCUAGCUUGAUUCUCUCCUAAAAUUAGGAAACUGAAUCAUCCUAAAUGAUCUCUCCUUUUUUAUUCCUAAAAUACUUUCCUAAAUUAAAAUCCUAACUUUGAAUGCCAAAUUUCAACAGAUAAUAAAAAAGAAACCUGAAUUUGCAUCUUUGAUUUUAUAGUUCAAAUUCACACUUCUAGAUUAUAUCAACACUGAAAUUUUCAACAUUAAAUCUUGUUAUCAAACAAUUGAUAUAUUAUUGCAGUAAACUAGUCAUCAUGAAAAAUUGUUAAGCAGUAUAAGGCUCCAUACAAAACAUAUGUACAACAAUUAACACAAACAAUCUUCAAUUAAUAAAAGUUUACCUGAAAUUGGUUAACCGUGACCGUCUUUCCAUACUCCUUGGCAUUGUAAGCAGAAAAAUACACAAGUGCAGCAUAGGUACUACUUGAUCCCAUAUCAUAAAACACAACAUGCCUCGAUCCAUUCGAGAAAUCCUUAUUGAUCCCAUAUUGCAAUGCCGCACCCGAAUGCUCAUGAAUUAGCGCAAGCACAUUAACACCCGCCAAUUGCGCAGCAGUAAGUUAAAUAGAAGGAACCACUUCUCACUCCAUGCAUCCAACAGAAGGAACAACUCUCUCUCCCUCCCUCUCUCUAUUUAUUUAUAACCAAUCAAAAAUGAACAAUUACAUCCAUGUGGCUCCUCCCCAAUUUAAAAUAGAAGGAACCACUUCUCACUCCAUGCAUCCAACAGAAGGAACAAAACCUCCCUCCCUCCCCUCCCUCCCCUCCCCCCCGCACGCCCCUCACCACCACCACCAUACCUACCUACCUAUCUGUGUGCUCCUUCUAUUAUGUCAACCACUUUGGUAAUUCAUUCUUUACAUGUUUAUUUCUCGACCUUCAUAAAACAUCAUCCACCCUGCUAGACCUAGAAAUUUACACACACAUCUUGACUUUUCUUUUUUUACUCUCUCCUAAAUCCCAAUUGAGAUGAACAAAACAACAGAAUUACAAAUCCAACACAACGUGGCCACACAGUGGGAAAAACCCGAACCACAAAUUUUCUAUAUAACAAAUAUAAUUCAAUUAGUUGUUUGUCUAUGCUACAUAAUCUAACUACAAGGCUCCAACACACCCACAUUACAAUAUUAAUUAUCAAAAUCUUAACAAUACAAAACUACUAAAUUGAGAGAGUUUCAGAAUCAAAAGCCAAAUGAAACCCAUAUGUAGAAUCACACAAACAAAUAAGCUAGAGAUUACCGAAGUGAGAGAAAGAUUCACUGUGGGCGUGGUCGGUUAUUGUUGCCUCUCUUCAAUUCUAUAGUACUUUCUUCAAACUUCCAUCUCCGUGAAACCUCUUUCUCACUAGCGUGUUUUAUUUAAAUAAUAAAUAUGUUAUCUUUCAUUCUAUAUGAUGUAAUAAAUAUAAACUAUACCUAUAUUUUAAAUAUAAUAAAUAAAUAAAUAAGAUAUACCAUCCUAGAUUGUUUAAAGUACUAUCAUGUAUUUCAAAAUAAUUCAUUAUUUAAUGGGCUAUAUAAAUUUCAAAUUCAGUAAUAAACAAAUACUUAAUAAGUUUCUUAUAUAUUUUAAAAUAUUUUAAAUUUAAUAAAACCAUGUUUGAUAUGUUUCUUUUUUAUUUCAAAAUUUUUUUAAAAAAAAAUGCUUAGUAUGGAUGCACUUCCUGCAAUUACUUCUAUAUAAAAUAUAAAAGUUUAAAAAAUUUUAUUUUUAAGAUAAAAAAUUUAAAAUAAUAUAAACAAUAACAUAAUAUAUAAAAAUAAAUAUUUUAUUUAACAUGGAUAUAGAAAAUUUUAUUUCCUAUACAUCUAAAUUUGUUUAUUAUGUAUGUUUAUAUUAUAUUUUAUUCUCAUUAAUUUGCUCUGGAACUUUUGGCUUGGCAAUAAGGAGAUGCCCAAAAAGAUCCUUUUGAUCUUGUUGAUGUCAAUAGUAGAUACUUUUUAAGCCCUGCCCUAGUGCCAAACACUGCAUGUGUGUUUGUUUCAUGUCCUUUUGAUUCUGGUCGAUGUAAAUGGUAGUCAUCUACAUUGGCAUUGAUGCUACACCAUAAUGAAGGAAAAGAACACAGACAAAAGCCUCAACUCAAUCAACAGUUGCAAAGUCUUAACAACACAAACGCUAACAAAAGCUUAAAUGACAAUUUCGUAACAGAACUACAAAGGGAAAAUAAAAAUAAAGGAACGUAACAGCUCUAUGGUUACCCUACUUGGAACUGCAACUUGUUUGACCAUAUUUGCUACUGGCAAAGCUGUUCAACAGCAGUCACAAUCUGUGAAGGCUGCACCACAGUCCAUUCCUCCAAUGUCCCAGCAUAUGGGGUGGGCACAUCCUGUGAUGACAGACAAACAAUCGGGGCAUCCAAGUAAUCAAUGAAAUUCUCAGUGAUAGCAGCUGUCAAACUGGCACCGAUCCCACCUGUCCGCAUGCACUCCUCCACAAUCAGCACACGGUGUGUCUUCUUCACUGAAUUCCCAAUCGUGUAAAGAUCAAAUGGUUUCAAGGACCUGAUAUCAAUAACCUCAGGGUCAUACCCCUUGUUCACCAAUGUUUUGGCAGCCUGCAUCACAUGAUACCUCAUCCUAGAAUAGGUUAAAAUGGUGACAUGUUCCCCAGGUCUUACCAUCUCUGCUUCCUCGAGUGAUAACACAUACUCUUCAUCUGGAAUCCUCUCCUUGAGAUUGUAAAGCAAAACAUGCUCAAAAAGGAUCACCGGGUUUUCACUCCGGAUUGCAGCUUUCAUCAAGCCCUUGGCAUUGUAAGGGGUUGAGCAUGCCACCAUUUGGAUUCCAGGUAUUGAUUGGAAAUAUGAUUCAAGGCGUUGUGAGUGUUCAGCCCCAAGCUGCCGACCAACUCCACCAGGUCCUCUGAUAACCACUGGUAUUUUGAACUGGCCACCAGAUGUAUAGUGGAGCAUGCCACAGUUGUUGGAGAUCUGGUUGAAAGCUAAAAGGAGAAAUCCCAUGUUCAUCCCCUCGAUAAUCGGCCUUAACCCAGUCAUGGCAGCUCCAAUGCCCAUGCCAGUGAAGGAGUUUUCAGCAAUGGGUGUGUCAAGAACCCUGAGAUCCCCAUACUUUGUAGCCAGGCCCUUUGUCACCUUGUAGGAGCCUCCAUAGUGGCCCACGUCUUCACCCAUUACGCAUACUCGGGGAUCUCUAUCCAUUUCUUCUUCCAGGCCUUCUCGAAGGGCUUCAAAUAGUAGAAGCUCAUGCCUGAGGAAAGAAAUCAAAUUAAGUUUACUAAAUCCUCAAUUAGCAAUAUUGAAGUCAUAAGAACAACAAUUAUGAAUGCGAACAAGAGAAUAGUAAUAAUAAGAAUUUUCCAAUAUUUUUUAAACAUGAAUUAAGGAAUUGAAAAUAUAACUAUCUUUAUGAAUGUAAAGAACAUAUUUGGAUUCUCUUAGUACUUUGGAAUUUACAAAACCCAGUUUUUCCAUUUUAUAUUCAUGCAUUUGCUCUUGACAAUACAAUAGAUUAGAAAAGGAAUAAAACGGGGGGGUUGGAAGAAGAGAAAGGGAUAUGAAACCAAUAACAAGUAGUUACUACAUUGAUCAGGAAAAUAGCAUCUCUACUUGUUUUGAGAUUUCUGAUGAAAGCCAAUGAAUUGGCCUAAUUAAUGAAAAAAAAAAAGGAUUAGACUCCGAAGGUGACUAAAACUGAAAAGAACUAAAAAAACUUGUUCCAUUCCCUCCCUCCCUCCAGUAGCGGUAUUCCCAGAGGUAUGUUCACGUCAUUUUUAAGAAUAGUUCACCCUGGAAUAACUUGGGCUUCUGAUUCCAUUCUAAAUUCAGCUUGCUGGUGGUGGGUGUGUCACUGUGUUCCCUCUUAUCAUAUUUUGAAUAACCCUAAUAGCAAACAACAAUUGGAAAAUACACACAGAUGUUCUUCACUACUUUUGUUGUUAUCAGUAUCAUAUUGGAAGUCUUUUUCCUUCUUUUUGAGCAAUAUGAGUGAUUCAAGGUCAGGGCAAGUUGUCUUACUGAACAAAGAAUCCUAGAGAUCAAUGCCCCCUGUGAGAUAAAAACCUGAUGACAAUACAUUGCAGAAAGGGAGUGAUUUCUCCAAGGAGAGCACUGAUUUGUGUGCUUUGAUCAUCACAAGACUUUUUGAAACAUUUUUACAAUUAACAAGUUUGUUUUAUUUUUGGUUAUUAAAUAUUGCAGUACCUGGCUUUAAUAGAAAUUGCUGUAAAUUAUUCACCAUCAAAUCCUUGUAUUCUAGUAUGAGAAAAUAGGCCACAACCUUGAAAACACGAAUGAACCAAAAAACUCAUUGCAAUUGGUCUAGCCUUUUGAUGCCUAAUCCCCUUAUUAGUGUAAAAGUGAUAACUUCUAAAUGUUUUCUACAUGCAUUCAGUGCCAAUAAGUUUUGCAUCAACAAACAUGCAGGUGUAUUUUGUUGGUUACAAUUGGAUUGAUUCGGAGCACCAAUUGGAAUUCAAAACUCUGGCUUGUACAGUGGAUCUCCCACUAUUUUGUACAGAGCUUAGUUCCACAAAGUUUGAAUCCAAUUCCAAAUCAUGCAGGAUCUGAAGCAUCCAAAUCUAAAUUGUUACUCCCAAUUCCCAUUCAAGAUUUUUCUUCCAAGAGAGCAAAAUUUUAGCAAGAAUGAAAAAGGAAUCGCAAUCAAGUCAAAAAUACAAAAAUAUUUCAAUUCACGACCACCACAAUUGUCUUAUGAUAAAAAAAAUUUAACUCCAUAAAUUGUAAGAACAUAUUGAGCUAAAAAUAGGCACAUAUUAUGAGAAUCAAGCUCAGAAAAUGGAUUGAAAGAAAAAGUGUGAGAGAGAAAGACAAAAGAAACAAACCCAGGUUUAGAUGCAGUUGAGGUCACAGAAGCAUCCGCCUUCGCCUAAAAAUCCAAAAACAAACGUCAAAAUCCAAUACCGGAAAAAAAAAAAAAACAAUUUACAUAUGCAUUUACGAUUGAGAAAGAGAGUUAACUGCAACUGCAUUAGUAAUCAAGCGUUGAGCACCGCGGCUCCGCGGGGAAGAACCAAGCGACGGCCUCCCAUCAGAUCUUACCACAAACAAACUUCCUUUCCUCGCUAAUACAAAAAACACAUAACCCAAAUCUCAGCAAAAAGAGUAUUAAAAAAAAUAAAUCCAAAAUGCUCUGUUUGGUUCCCGGGAAUAAACUUUCCCAUAGAAAAUUUUACGGGAAUUCAAUGAAUUGAAGUAAAUGAGAGAGAACCUGAGACGAAUCUAGGAGAUUGUGAGUGGAAUUUCUCGGCAGGAGGCAGAGCCGCCGCCGCCGCCGCCGCGCCGAUCCCUUGAAAAAUCGCAGCCAUUGCUUCGUCUGGAAAGGAGAGGAAGCGAUGUGAAUGUGAUGAGAGGAGAGAACCAGUGAGAGACGGUGCUUGCUUUGCUCGGCGAUUUAUUUGAGACCCUUUUUAACAGCUCACCGGCACCAUCUUCGUUUUCAUCGCCACCGGCCAGCGUAAAGACGGGAGAUUUGAGGUUACAAUGACGCAUUUACCCUCCUUUGUUGUUUUUUGGUACAAGCAGGUGUUAAUCUGGUGACCCACCCCUUCCUAUGAAAAAACAACUUAUUGAUAUCCAGUUAGAUUUUUCAAAGAGUGGUGUUGGCCCGUUGGGUAAUAUAUUUUCAAAUUUUAGAUUUUUAUUUUUAUUUUUUUUGUUAACUUAUUAUUUAAGUCUUAAAAUUUUUUAUUUAAUAAAAAAGUUAAUGUAUUUAAUUUUUUUAAAUACUAAAAAGAAUAUAUUGGUUUUUUUAUUUUUUAAUAUUUAAUAAAAAUUAAAUAUUUAAAAAACAAACAAUUUGACUUUUAUUACAACCGUAAAAUGAUGCCCAGUUAGUAUUUUAGAUUUUUAUUUAUUUCUAAAUAAAAUUUUAUAAUAUUUGCUUAUUUGAUGACUUAAAAUAAAUCUUUACCAUAAUUAAAUUAAUAUAUUUCUACUUGCAUAUGAAUCGUAUUAUCACCGGCCAGAAAAGCGAUGUCUGCUUCCCAAAAAUUGCUUUCCAUGCUAUAAAAUCACUUUUUUCCUUUUAUAUAUAUAUAUAUAUAUAUAUAAAAUAAUAAUAAUAAGGAAAGACUUUUAAAAUAAUAGGCUUUGAUAAUGACUUUAAUUAGGUAGCUGUGGAAGCGAUGUGGGGUUUAGUUUUCAAUGACCUUUUUAAAGGUGAUUUGAUCCCAUGACUUUGGGAACUAACGAAAUUAAAUUUUGUGCUUUCUCCUGAAAAAAGAGGAAAAAAAAAAAAAGGACAAGUGAAAGAAAAUAAAAAUAAAAAAUAAAUUUAAAAUUAAUAAAUUAUUUAAUUUAUUUUUAAAAUUUAUUUAAUUUAUUUUUUUUCAUUAUAUGAAAAUUUAAUUAUUUUAAAAUAUUAAAAUUUUUAAUUAAAUUUAAUUAUAUUUAAAUUUUUUUCAUUUUUUUUAUAAAAAAGUUAAACACAUGAAAAUUAUUUUUCUUAAAAUUCUUUUAUUUCCUUUGUAUUUUUCGAAAAUCAACAUUUUACUUGUAAUUUGGAUAAUAAGAAAUUUUUAAUAAGAUUACAAAAAACACACAUUGAAAAAACAACUUAUUGAUACCAUAUCUCCGUAUAUUUUUUAACGGGAUAUUGACAUGAAUACAACAGGAUGCCAUGUAACACAUCCGAGAGUCCAAAAUAAUUCCUCAGUGUCCAUCCACAUGGCAUCAUAGAAUUCUCCCAAACUAUAUGGGAAAGAAGAAAAGAGAGUGGGAAAAACAAAGCCCACUUAUGAAAUUGAUUAUAUAAUUAUCUAAUUAUUUAUUCUUAUAAUAACAAGGGUCAUGGGAUUAAAACGGAUAAUUCCAAAUUUACAAAUCAACCCUCCACGAAUUUUACUAUAAAAAAUAACUCAUAUAUAUAUAUAUAUAUAUAUAUAUUUAUAAAACCUUCAUAUUUUCUUAUAAAGGUAAAAUUCUCUUCAAAAUCUUACACAAAAUCAUACAAAUAUUAAAAGAUAUUUAUAUAAAAAAUGAAUUAUUUUUCAAAUCCAAACGCUAGAAAUGUUACUUUAUAAAUUUGAAAGUAUUUCAUCUUCUUUGAUUAAUUAAUUAUAAUUGUAAUAAGAAGAAGAAAUCAAAAAGUACCUAUAUAAUUUAGAAGUUAAGAAAACGAGAAGGAAAAUAAAUGAAAAAGAGACUUUGGCAAUGUGACGGGUUGCCCCAAUCCCAAUCCCAACCCCACCCCAUUUAUUGAAAAUAAUUCUCAUCCUUAUCUCAUACCCACUCCCACCUAGUUUAACUUUUUUUUUUAGUAUUUUAAAAAUUUUUAAAUUACAUUAAAAUAAAAUAUAUUUUAUAAAUAAUUAAAUUAUUAUAUUUUUAUAACUUAUUUUAUUGAAAAUAUUUAUUAUUAUUAUUAUUUUUAUUAUCUAUGUAUUAAAAAUAAGAAAAUAAAAAUUAAAUUAAUUAAUUUUAUAUAUAAUCAAGGAUGAGCGAGAUAAGGCAAUACUUGAACCCACCCGAAAUCCAUAUUGAGUUUGAAAAAGAAAUCUCAAACUCAUUUAUUUAAAUUUUAAAUUUGUCCAAUUAAAGGCAGAAUGAGGUGAGUACUUGAAAAAAACCCACUUUAUUGUCAUUUCUAUCAUAAAUGGUAAAAACCUUAUUUUAUGUUGGCCCAUUUGAUCAAAAAAGGCAUAACAAAAUCACAUUUUAUAUUAUACAUCAAAAUGAUAUUGAUAAUGAAUAUUUUGAGAAUUCAAAUAUGAAAAAUUAUUAUUUUUUAUGAAGAUGAUAUAUGAUGUAAAUUUUUUAAAAAAUAUUCUAUAAAAAAAUAGUUGAAAAUAAUACAUUUUCAUAAUCAAUCAAAAAUUCAUAUUCAACAAAAACAAAACUUGUCAGAGGUAUUGUUUUAAGUUAGAAAACUAUUGUUUCUAAAUAUAAUUUCUGAAUAAACCUAAAAAAAUCUCUUUCCACUUUCUUUUCUUCUCUCCCUUCCUAGUGUUAAAAAAAUUGUUUGAGAACUUUUGUCAAAGCAGCAUCCUAUAAUAUUCCUGGAAUUCUACACUCAACUUAUAAAUAUUUCAAUUAUUUUCUAAAUAAAAAUAGAAAUCAAACUUGAAAACAUGUUUGAAUGAUAUUUUUUCUAUUUUCAUACUUGUGUGACCCACCAUCAAUAUAAAUAUUAUAAAUAUUUAUAAACCAUUAUUUCAUAUAUAUAUAUAUAUUGAAAAUUAAAUAUUGUAUAAUUUUGUUCAUUUACUAGAUUAUGUAUUAUUAUAGUUAUAAAUGAAUAUAUAUUUAUAUGAGAUUAAUUUAUUUGAUUAAUCAUAUUUUUUUUCGCAAUUUUUUGGUUAGUGAAAACAAAAAACCAAACAUGAUUUUACAAAUAUUAUUUUUAAAAUUAAUUUUCACUUUUUUUUAACCAAAUACAUUUUCAAAAAAUGAAAAAAUAGAAAAUAAAAUUUAAUUAAAAAAAAAAAAGGUUUUCUAAAUCUUAAAUUCCUCCCUAUUUUCUUAUCUUCCAAACGCUGCAAACCUGACAAACAGCUCUCAGAGCGAGCCCACAAAAGCGCGCCAAAAAAAACCACCAUGCCUGAACUUCCAGAGGUAGAGGCCGCGAGAAGAGCCGUCGAAGAGCACUGCGUGGGCAAGAAGAUUACGAAAGCUGUGAUCGCUAAUGACUCAAAGGUCAUCGAUGGAGUCUCUCCUUCAGAUUUUGAAGCCUCUCUUCUCGGUAAAACCAUUGUCUCUGCCCACAGAAAGGGUAAAAACAUGUGGCUCCAGCUCGAUUCCCCUCCUUUUCCUUCCUUCCAGUUCGGUACGGCUCCAACCCUAAAUGAGAAAAUGUGGGUUUUUUAGUUUAGGGUUUAUUGUGAAACAGUGGACCCAUGUGAGAAUUUGGGCCUUUGAUCAUUAAAUGAAGUUCUAUUGCGAAAUGCGGGAUUUUUUUUUUUAAUAUAGAUGUAUUUAGCUUUAUUUAAGUGGUUUUGCUGAUUUCACGGUUCUAGAAACUGGUGUGAAGAUUGAAACUCCAUGACUGACAAUGGAGGGACAGACCACCGUUCAUGGAAAUAUGCGAUUUUACUGAUUUUCCAUGUUAUGAUUUUAAAGUGUAAUGUGCCAGAUAAUGUAUUAUUUCUUGUAGAAAAUGAUCUUUGAUGUGUUUCAGGAAUGGCGGGUGCUGUAUGUAUAAAGGGUGUUGCAGUCACAAAAUAUAAGAGGUGAGUUUCCUUGGGUUCUUGUGUAUGUUCAUGGAAUUUCAAGAAAAUGCGUCCAUUGAUAUUUCUGGAUGCUAUCUUGCUGUCAUCCAAUUAGCAUCUUGAGGGUGUCCCUAAAAAUUGGUUUGAAAUAUGGAUAGGUGAUAUAAUGUAGUUUAAUUUGACCAUCUUAUGAAUUAAUAGUUCUAUUCAAUGUGGUUGGACUUCUAUAUUCAGAAUUCCGAUAAAAUUUCUUGCUAUUUAUGAUCUAAAAAAUUGUUGUAAGGCGUAACGGUAAUGGUUUAGUUUAUUCUAUUAUCACUGUGCUUCAACUUCCCUUGUUGCCUGCUUGGAAUUCUGGGAGUUUUUAAAAAAUCUCUUCUAGGUUGCUCCCUUUUUUUUAUGCUUCUAUUGCCAUUGAUUAAUAAUCUUUGCACACCCCUCAUGUCAUGCUUGAUUGUUCAUGGUUGUUGAUUUUUGACACUAGAAAAUCUUAUGGAUUGAAGGAAGCCUCCCUGCAUCGAAAACAUUUUUUAAUGGGCUUGAAAAAUUCUGCACCAAAGGGAAAAAGCAUCUAUGCUACUCAUAUUAAUUUUUAGUCCUAAGCCUGACUACUUUUAUCGGAGAAGUCUAUAUUUUAAUUUUGACAGUCAUGUCGUUUUAGGGUCUUAUCCUCUUUUGCAUUCUUGGUGAUCAUGUCUUUUCUAGCCACCUUUAGCUGAAAUUCUUUUUUGUUGUGCUCUUCUGACUUGCAUUUGAACUGAGUCACUUCAUAUUGGUGAAUUCAUUGGUCUUUGCUAUUAAUGGUCAAACCAUCCUAGACAAGCUUUCCUCCAUCCUAAUGUUGGUGGUUACUACCUUUAACUUAUCAUGAGUGCAUUUCUUAUAGAUUCCAUCUGGGCUACUGGUUGUUGCAACACUAACUUCUUAGACUUCCAGGCAGAAAAAGUAGGUUAUAGUCUACGUACAACCAUUUCUUACAAUAAUCUUGAAGGUUAGGUCAAUUACUAAUAUACCUCUGAUUUAUUCAUCUCACCUUAUUUUCUCAACAUGUUGUAUUGUAAAUACUCUAUGAUCUAUGCUAUAAAAUAUAUCUAUGAUUGCACACUGCUCUAAUUUCUCUGUAAACAUCCUUGAUCAGGACAAACCCUUUAAAGAUCAAGUAAAGCUGCCUUUAAUAAAUUACAGUUGGUUAUUGCUGUGAUUUUUAGGGUUUAUAAUGGAUAAGAAGGUGAAAGCAGGGUAUAUGGUUUUAGUAACGGCCAAAUUGGCCAUGUUUUAGAAUUUUGUGGGCUGAAAAUAAGAAAAAGCUUGAUGGUAUCCUUGGAAGGCAAGGGAAAAUAAGUGUUUUGCACUAAGAUAGUAAAGGUAAUACUAAGGUUUGUGAUUAGGGGUAGGGUUUAGGGAUAAAAUUGGGAUCACGGAAGGCUGGUCAUGGGUUGAAAAGUUUGCAUGAUAGAGCAAAGAAUAGAAAGAAGUGACAAGGAGAUUAAUAUGGGUGAAACUUGAUUGUUCCACCAUCUAAUGGUAAUAUUAUGUUUUGUGAGAUUAGUGUGUGAUCUUUGGCAAUGAGAUGCAGGAUAAGUUCUUGCUAGGGAGAAUUUUCCAGUGGAAAUGUUAGGUAAUCGGUUUUCAAGAGGUUGAAGGCAGUGAUAAAUGGUUAAGAUUGAUAACUAGAUAUGAUUAACAUGAAACUAACAAAAAACGCCUAUGCAUAACUUCCAACAAUAUGCUCUGUUGUUUCUUCUUAAUACACUAAGGAUCUGUUUUAUUCUGCACUUUAUUGCCUAAAGAAAUCUUUACCUUAAAUAUUGUGGAUUAUAGUAAUUUAACCUUGUCAAACAAAGGUCUCUCUAACUCCGUCAACACUCAUGCCUGUGAACCAUGGGGUUUGGUUUGCUGAAUCUGGUUAUGUGUGGAAAUUUAUUAGACAUGCAAUAACUUCAACUCUUGAAGUGUUGCAUCUCGUGGGGAAGUAUAUUUUGUAGGAUCAUAUUCCUGAAUCUAAUCAUUGAAUGAGUAUCAACAUUAAAAAGAUGGUGAAGGUAUUGGUUGAGAGGAAGACUUUCUUGAUUAGGUUGGAAGGCAAGCAAGGAGGCGAAUGGUGCUCGAUAACAGAGAUAAGUAGAGGCUCUGUUUUUGCAUUAGGUUUUGAAAAGGAAGCAGUUGAGUGGUUGGUUGAUUAUUUGACGAAAGCCUUAGCACUGAAGAGUCAUAUGGGUUUCAACAAAAAAUUCAGAGGAAAAUGCAGGGUGCAUCUGAUGGAAGUGGGCUUCAACAACCAUGGAAGGUUCAUUAGGAUCUCGGAGUAUGUUACCAACAGAAAGCCUUCCGUUCUGAUUAUUCCUGAGGGCGACAAGGGCAGAGGUUGGGAGAAUAUAAAACAUGCGUUAUCUUCUUUGUUGGUGGCCCAUUAUCCGAAUGUAUUAGAAAAAGGAAGGAAUAUAAGAGGGGAAAGUUGGUCUCACAAUUAUGAGGGAUCGAUGCACAGAUCAUAUGCGAAGGUAGUCAGUGAUGAAGGACCAAGAGGAGGUGGUCUAGUUCCAAUUGGGAGAUGGGCGCGUGCUGUGGUGUGUGAAAGCAAGUUUGACAGGGAGAAUUGGGCUGAGGUUGGAAGAUCAGUGGCGAGAAGCUUAGGGAAGAAAGGUGUGGUAACGGUUGUACCCAUUUCAGCUAGAAAUGGAGUAUUCUUCGUUGAAACAAUUGAGGAAGCCAUAUUUCUCCAUGAUUUGAGGAAGAUAAAGGUUGGGGAAAGGAACAUCAUCCAGUUGCGAAGAUGGUCGCCGAAGGAGAACGCGGAAAUAGACGGGAAGUUUAGAGAAGGCUGGAUCGAGUUACGGGGGCUGCCAUUUCACCUAUGGUCGGAGGUACACCUGAAGAAGAUUGUGGAGCAAUGGGGGACAGUAAAUGAAAUCGAUUGGCGCACGUUGAAGCUGUUCGAUCUCAGCAGGGCGAGGUUAAAGAUCGCAAUGAGGGAUAAGGCAAUCCUUCCAGCUUUGUUAGAAGUGUCUGAUGGGGAGUGGGUGUUUACGGUCAUUGUCGUAGUGGUCGGAGACGAAGAAGGAAGGAGAGGUGGCGAAAAAGGUGAGUCGACUCGGGUGGCUGGCGCUUCUCACUCGGGGACAGAUGGAGGAAAACGAGGGGAGAGUGGAAGAUCAACGGCGGGAGGGAGAUGUCGUGUCGGGGAAGACAACAGACAAAGGAAGGAGGGAGAAAAGGGUAGGGCUAUGAUUACCUCAGCCGGCAAGUGUGACAAGGGCCACCAACUCCCAUCACAGUCUUGUUUGAAAACAGAUGGGAUGGACGGGAUCGAAGCAACAGGAGGAGAGUGGGCUGGAGAAGACGAAGCUAUUACAGAUGUGGGCUGUCGGGCCUGUGAGAGGAAGGCCCAGUCGCUGGCAAGGCCUGGGCUAAGUGCAGUUAUAACGGGCUGCAAGCUUAAAGGCCCAAUGGGGUUGGGCCUAAGUCCAGAAGGGCUCACUCCAUUUGUGACUGGGACGUCGUUACGCAAGGAAGAAGACUCUUCUUCUGCAAUCGAAAAGGGGAAACCAGACCCCGGACCCCUCGAGGUCUAGUCGAGCAGGCUAGCGAAGAAGAAGGUGCUGCACAGUUCAAGGAAGAUGUGGUCAACCUUCUUUCCCCCAAGCUCAGAGCAACGACGGGGAAUCCGGUGUAGCAGCGAGCCCUUUUCGCGCGGAAAGACCAAGGUGGAUAGCGAAGGGGACUCAAGGGCAGAAGAUUCAGGUGCCGAAUCUCAGGCGAAAAGAGGUUUAAGUGCAAGCUCUCUUUUUUCUCCUCGAUUUCCAAGGCCCCGCAAGAAGAAUUUAGGGGAAAGGGCUUCGGCGCCGAGAAAGGAAGAGAUUUCGAACAAUGCUUCAUCUGACGAAGAUAUGGAAGGAUUUUUGGGCCGAGUGGAGUCUGAUCCUCGAGGCUCAGCAGUCAUGGGUAUGCCUUCUUCGCCAGUAACCAGAGGUAAAGGGCCUAACUUGUUGGGGAAUUGUGGUUCGAUGGUUGCGGAAUCUCUGGAGGUAACGCCUUAUCUUUUUCAGCCUACCCAGCAAUAUAUUCCUUCUUCUAGCGGCCUCACUAAUUCUCUCUUGAACCCUUCUGUCUCCAUUCCGAGUCCUUCUACUCCCUUGCUUCCCGUUUCAGCUUCUCAAUCCUUGGCCCCUACAGAAAACCGAGUAAAUUCUGAAUUUUUUUUCAAAAAAGCCAACGAUGCUUUUAACGGUCAAAUUACUGUUGAUAUCCCUAAUUCAGAAAUGGAGGUGAUCCAGCCUGCUUGUCCCAACCAGAUGUGUGAGAGUGUCAACCCUCUCUCAGCUUCCAGUGAGGCUGCAGUUAACCUGGGUGGCAUUGCGGGCUCUCCUAAGGGAGAGUUCCAAAUAGAAGGACCUUCCCCCAGGAGAAUGGCAAAAGUAUGUGAGGUUUUAAAGUCUCUAGAUAUCAAGGUGUAUUCCAGGAGGAAGAGUAGAUGCUCUACAGGAUUGUGAGACCAAUUGGAUUUGGAUCGGGAUCAGGGUCAGAGUGUUUCACAUGAAGAUAAUCAGUUGGAAUACCAGGGGUUUGGGUUCUAAGAAAAAGAGAAGGGUGGUCAAGAAUUUUCUGAGUUCAGAAAAGCCGGAUGUAGUAAUGAUUCAAGAAACUAAAAAGGAGGAGUGUGACAGAAGGCUAGUGGGUAGUGUUUGGUCAGUCAGAAAUAAGGAUUGGGCAGCCCUUCCGGCGAGUGGGGCUUCGGGUGGGAUUUUGAUCAUUUGGGACUCUAAAAAGUUGCGUAGGGAGGAGGUAGUGUUAGGCUCUUUUUCGGUCUCAAUCAAGUUCGCGAUGGACGAAUGCGAAUCUUUGUGGCUAUCUGCAGUUUAUGGCCCAAACAACUCAGCUCUUAGGAAGGAUUUUUGGGUGGAGCUUUCAGACAUUGCUGGGCUCUCUCAUCCGCGUUGGUGUGUGGGCGGCGACUUUAAUGUUAUAAGGAGAAGUUCAGAAAAAUUGGGAGGUUCUAGAUUAACCCCAUGCAUGAAGGAUUUUGAUGAAUUCAUAAGAGAUUGCGAAUUGAUAGAUUCACCUUUAAGGAGCGCAUCAUAUACUUGGUCAAACAUGCAAGAGAAUCCAGUAUGCAAGAGAUUAGAUCGCUUCUUGUACUCAAAUGAGUGGGAACAAGUAUUUCCUCAAAGUCUUCAAGGAGUACUGCCAAGAUGGACUUCAGAUCAUUGGCCAAUUGUUUUGGAAACUAAUCCAUUCAAGUGGGGACCAACGCCUUUCAGGUUUGAGAAUAUGUGGUUGCAACAUUCUAGUUUUAAGGAGAAUUUUGGAAGAUGGUGGAGUGAGUUUCAAGGAAAUGGGUGGGAAGGGCACAAGUUCAUGAGGAAAUUACAGUUCGUUAAAGCCAAAUUGAAAGAGUGGAAUAAGACUUCUUUUGGAGAGCUAAGUAAAAAGAAAAAAGAUAUUUUAGCUGUUUUAGCUAACUUUGAUUCCUUGGAGCAAGAAGGGGGACUAUCCCAUGAACUUUUAGUCCAAAGAGCUUUAAGUAAAGGGGAGCUAGAGGAGUUGAUUUUGAGAGAAGAAAUACAUUGGAGACAAAAAGCUAGGGUGAAAUGGGUAAAAGAAGGGGAUUGCAACUCAAAAUUUUUUCAUAAGGUGGCCAAUGGCAGGCGAAAUAGGAAAUUUAUCAAGGAGUUGGAGAAUGAAAGUGGCCUAAUGUUGAAUAAUCCAGAGAGUAUAAAAGAGGAGAUCUUAAGGUAUUUCGAAAAGCUUUAUGCGAGUUCUUCUGGAGAAUCGUGGAGAGUGGAAGGCUUAGAUUGGUCCCCUAUUGAUGGUGAGAGUGCGUCCAGGUUGGAAUUCCCCUUUACUGAAGAAGAGAUUUAUAAGGCCAUUUUUCAGAUGGAUAGGGAUAAGGCUCCUGGGCCAGAUGGCUUUACCAUUGCAGUGUUUCAAGAUUGUUGGGAUGUGAUAAAGGAGGAUCUAGUGAGAGUGUUUGCAGAAUUCCAUAGGAGCGGAAUUAUCAAUCAGAGUACCAACGCUUCCUUUAUAGUCUUGUUACCCAAAAAAAGCAUGUCAAGGAGAAUCUCAGACUUUAGACCCAUUAGCUUGAUCACUAGUCUUUACAAGAUAAUAGCCAAAGUGUUAGCAGGGCGUCUAAGAGGGGUACUUCACGAGACCAUUCAUUCCACUCAAGGAGCCUUCGUGCAAGGGAGACAAAUUUUGGAUGCAGUUCUCAUAGCCAAUGAGAUAGUGGAUGAGAAAAGAAGAACAGGGGAGGAAGGAGUUGUAUUCAAAAUUGACUUUGAAAAGGCCUAUGAUCAUGUGAGUUGGGAUUUUUUGGAUCAUGUGUUGGAGAUGAAAGGGUUUAGUCUUAGAUGGAGGAAAUGGAUGAGAGGUUGCUUGUCCUCGGUUUCUUAUGCAGUCCUAGUGAACGGUAAUGCGAAAGGGUGGGUUAAGGCAUCUAGAGGUUUAAGACAAGGCGACCCUUUAUCACCUUUUUUGUUCACUAUAGUGGCAGAUGUAUUGAGUAGGAUGUUAUUGAAAGCUGAGGAGAGAAACGUCUUGGAGGGCUUCAGGGUGGGCAGGAACAGAACAAGGGUAUCCCAUUUACAAUUUGCAGAUGAUACCAUUUUCUUUUCCAGUACUCGAGAAGAGGAUUUGAUGACGCUUAAGAGUGUUCUGCUAGUGUUUGGACAUAUUUCCGGUUUAAAAGUUAAUCUUGACAAAAGCAACAUCUAUGGCAUUAAUCUUGAACAGAAUCACCUUUCUAGACUGGCCGAGAUGCUUGACUGCAAGGCUUCUGGGUGGCCUAUACUAUAUCUAGGUCUUCCUCUAGGAGGGAAUCCUAAGGCAAGUGGCUUUUGGGAUCCUGUGAUUGAGAGGAUAUCAAGGAGAUUAGAUGGGUGGCAGAAGGCGUAUUUAUCUUUUGGAGGUAGGAUAACACUCAUUCAAUCUUGUCUAACCCAUAUGCCAUGUUACUUUCUCUCCCUGUUUAAGAUUCCCGCCUCAAUGGCAGCAAAAAUUGAGAGAAUGCAAAGAGAAUUUUUAUGGUCAGGCUAGGGGAAGGAAAAAGAGACCAUUUGGUUAAUUGGGACGUUGUGUGCAAGCCGAAGUCGAGAGGGGGUUUGGGUUUUGGAAAGAUUUCUAUGAGGAAUGUCGCUCUUUUAGGGAAGUGGUUGUGGAGGUAUCCUAGGGAGGGUUCAGCUCUAUGGCAUCAGGUUAUCUUAAGCAUUUAUGGAUCACACUCCAAUGGCUGGGAUGUCAACAAUAAUGUUAGAUGGUCUCAUCGUUGUCCUUGGAAGGCCAUUGCACUUGUCUUCCAAGAGUUUUCCAAGUUUACUCGGUUUGUGGUAGGGGACGGGGAUAGAAUUCGGUUCUGGGAUGACUUGUGGUGGGGGGAUCAACCUUUGGGAACCCAAUAUCCAAGAUUACUUAGCGUAGUCACGGAUAAAAAUGCUCCUAUUUCAUCAAUUCUCGGGUAUUCCCGUCCUUUCUCUUGGAAUUUCAAUUUUCGCCGAAAUCUUACUGAUUCUGAGAUUGAAGAUUUAGAAAGCCUCAUGCGGUCUCUUGAUCGUCUACACAUAUCUCCUUCGGUUCCAGAUAAGAGAUCCUGGUCCAUAUCUCCUUCAGGUCUCUUCACAGUCAAAUCUUUCUUUUUGGCCUUAUCCCAAUAUUUCGAGUCGCCUCCAGUGUUCCCUACUAAGUUUGUCUGGAAUUCUCAAGUCCCUUUCAAAGUCAAGUCCUUUGUCUGGUUGGUGGCGCACAAGAAGCUUAAUACUAAUGACUUGCUACAAUUGAGAAGACCCCACAAAGCACUUAGUCCCAACAUAUGUAAGUUGUGCAUGAAGCAUGGAGAAACAGUAGAUCACCUUUUCCUCCAUUGCUCGUUGACCAAGGGGUUGUGGCACAGAUUAUUUCAGUUAGCAAAGAUGGAUUGGGUUUCCCCAAGGAGCAUCUCUGACAUGUUUUUUACUAAUUUUAAUGGUUUCGGUUCUUCUAAGAGAGGGGUUGUGUUAUGGCAAGACGCGUGCAUUGCGUUAAUGUGGGUGGUGUGGCGGGAAAGAAAUGCAAGGAUUUUUGAGGAUAAAGUAAGGAAUUUAGGGUUUCUUUGGGAUUCUAUUCGUUUUUUGGCUUCUCUAUGGGCUUUUUGUUCUAAGGUUUUUAAAGGGAUACCUCUUAACAUGUUACAACUUGAUUGGUUAGCGGUGUGUAAAUAGACCGUUUGCUUAUUCUCUCGCUGUAUUUCUUAUAUUUGAUUCUUGUAGUCUUGUUUUUCUUUGGUGGGAGGAUUUCUCAUCCUUCUAAUUGUACCUUCUUUUUAUCAAUAUAUUUCGUUGUCGUUUCCUAUCAAAAAAAAAAAAAAAAAACUAACAAAAAACAAAGCAAAGGAGUGUCAAAAGUUGUGGUAUGGCAAAUAGGAGUCUCUUCUUGGCAGUAUAAGAUCAAUAAAAGAAGAUGAUUGGCGUGAAGUGCUCAAUGUAAAUUUUAUUGUUUUACUGAUUUUGAUUCAUCAAAAUCUUUUUCUUUGUUAUUCAAAAUAUGACUUGAGAUGGAUUUAACUUUUUCAUAUCUGAUGCUUAUUGAGUGUAUUCUCCUCUAUAAAACAGUUUGCAAUUAUGGGUCAUAAUAACGUAAAGAGUCUUGAUUACAGGUCUGCUGUCAAGGAUACUGAUGAGUGGCCAUCCAAAUAUUCGAAGUUAUUUAUUGAAGUAAGCAUGGUUACUCUUUUCCUAAAUCUAUGGUGCUGACAAUCUGAUUGAAAUUACUAGGAAAUUAAUUUCCUGAUUUUCAAGAUUAUAUGGUCAUAUACUUUCUUGUUUUAUUCGCCUAAUUUGUAGGAUAAAGGAUUUCUAGGAAUUAGUUAACUAUGUUAUUUUGUGUAAUUUAGUUUCCUAAUUUUGUAGGAUUGUACGUUAUAGAUCUUGAAAAAAAUAAAAAUAUUCUUUUCCAUAUGGUAUCAAAGUCUGUUCAAGGUCUGUAGGUUCUCUUCUAAUUUUUAACUUGUGAUCUUCAUUAUCGCUGAUUUCCAGUGGCUUUUAUUGCCAUUAUUCUCUGCCUGAAGCGGCCGUCAUUGCCUUUACCAUUUUUUUUUCUCUCCUCUUAGCGGCCUUCUUUAUUGAUGAUAAUUUCCAAACCUUUGUUAUAAUUCAAUAGUUUUUUGCAUCAGCAAUUACACCAAUGUUUAUUAAGUUUUGUCUCUAUUUUGCUACCCACUAUGUUGAAAAGCUCAGAAAACAAAACCUAAGAAAAUCCGACCUCAAAUCCUGCAUUCUAGUUGCAACCGCCUACCAGACAAUGCCAAACCAUUAGCCCUCAUUCAAACUUAUCGCCUGAAACUAUCUGGUAUGGUCUCAGCAUGUGCGCACGUUAUCGAAGGAAAAAGGAAAGUUCAACCACUUUAGUGUACCAACACUGAGUGAAGAUGAUCCCAAGUUUGCCAUCUAGGAUGAGGACUCAAUAAUCAUGCCUUGGCUAUGGAACAUGAUGCAAUCUGAAAUCAGCAGAAUGUGUAUGUUCCUGACUAUGACAAAGGAAAUCUAGGGGAGAGUGGAACAGACUUAUUCUAUAGUGUAAGAUGUUCAAAUUACGAGAUAAAGACCAAGAUUCACUCUACAAAGCACGGUACUUUAUUUAUAAUUGAGUACUAUAAUGUUAUGAUUUGGGGAUCCCUUUGGGGGCGAACCACAAGUCUGUGGCUGUUUGGGAUGGGGUGGAAGAGAGAUUUCGGAAACGGCUGGCCUUGUGGAAGAGGCAAUUUAUUUCCAAAGGAGGGAGAAUCACUCUAAUUCGGAGUACAUUGUCAAGUAUGCCCAUAUACUUGAUGUCUUUACUUCGAAUGCCAAGAGUGGUUAGUCUAAGGUUGGAGAAAAUUGAAAGGGAUUUCUUGUGGGGAGGGGGUGCUUUGGAGAGGAAGCCUCACUUAGUUAAUUGGGAUACCGUUUGCAUGGACAAAAGGAAGGGGGGCUUGGGAGUUAGACGCCUAUCCAUCCUUAAUAGGGCCCUUCUUUGCAAGUGGAAUUGGUGUUUUGCGAAUGAAAGGGAGAAAUUUUGGAGGCAUGUAAUUAGUAGGAAGUUCGGGCUGGAAGAAGGGGGUUGGGGUUCUAGAGAAGUUAAGGAGAGUUAUGGAAGGAAAUAAGGAAGGAAGGUGCCCUUAUGUAAAAUAAAGUCGUUUUUUCAGUGGGGAAUGGUAGAAGGGUAAAAUUUUGGAAAGAUAUAUGGUGGGGGAACUUCGCCUUAUGCAAUUCUUUUCCCUCCUUGUAUGCUAUUGCCUCCUCUAAGGAGGCUUGGGUAGAGGAGUUUUGGGAUACUUCGGGAGUGGAAGGGGCUUGGAGUCCUAGAUUUUCUAGGCCCUUCAAUGAUUGGGAGGUGGAGGAGGUGGAGAGGCUUCUUUUGACAAUCCGAGGUGCAAGGCUUAUUCCUCUUAUGGAAGAUAGAAUGAUGUGGAAAGUGACUUCGAAUGGGAUUUUUUCAGUUAAAUCACUCUAUAAUGAUCUAUCUUCAAGAAGAGCUGGUCUUUUCCCUCAUGGUUUGAUAUGGAAUCCUAGCGUGCCUUCCAAAGUGGGUUUUUUCGCUUGGGAGGCUUCUUGGGGUAAGGUGCUUACUAUGGAUCAGCUUAAAAAGAGGGGGUGGGCUCUUGCUAAUAGAUGUUUUCUGUGCUGUGAGGAAGAGGAGUCUAUUGAUCAUAUUCUUAUACAUUGCUCCAGGGCAAGAGCUUUAUGGGAGUUUUUGUUCGCCCUUUUUGGAGUGUUUUGGGUCCUCCCAUCUUCAGCUAGAGAUACCCUUAUUGAAUGGAGGGGCUUUAUGUUGGGCAAGAAGCAUAGAAAGGUGUGGAAGGCAGCCCCGUUGUGCCUUUUUUGGGCGGUUUGGAUGGAAAGAAAUAGGAUUGCGUUCGAUAAUGAGGACUUUUCGGUUCAUAGGUUGAAAAAUUCUUUUGUUUGUAAUCUUUGGGUAUGGACAAAGUCAAGUGUAAAUGAAGGUCCUCUUCCUUUACUUAGUUUUUUUGAUUGGCUAGGCGCUAGAUGAGGGUCGGGUUUGUAUUUUCUCUUCUUUUGUGUGUGCCUUAAGGGGCCUUUUGUAUACCCCCUGUAUGCUGUUGGGUUUUCCUCAAGGUGCCCUUUUCUAAUAUAUUUCUACUUUUGCCUAUCAAAAAAAAAAAAUAAUGUUAUGAAGUGAUUGUGAUCUUUGAUGUGUUUCAGGAAUGGCGGGUGCUGUAGAGCCCUGCCAGUUAAUUGUAAAAGAGCAUCAUCAGUGAUCUCGUCACUCAAUGGCCGGUCUAUACAAAUAUUCCUCCAUAGAAGAGGGUUGCUUUUAACAACAUUGCAGAGAGACCUGCAAACUCUUUCAACCACAAGGAGAUCCAGUCUCGUCAUCAGGAUGGACUUUGGUACAUGCCUGCAAUUCCUUUUCUUGGUUGCUGUUGAUCCAAUUUCCAUGGCAGCUAAAACUCAGAAAUUCACUGAACCCACCAUCACAUAAAUUUUUACCAUCUAAACCAUCAAACUCAUUACAAGGAACCGAUUUCUCAGCAUUACUAAAUUCUGGUUGAAAUCUCAUUGCACCGCUCCAAACCAAAUUUAGAUUGGCAUACAAUCCACGACCCUCUCCCUAGGACCAACACUUCUGGCAUUCCCUCAAAGAAAUGCCCAAAUACACAAAGACUCGAACACCAUACGAGAAAAGAAACAUCAAACAUAGAUGAAAACAUACAAAAGUGAUUAAUUAAUGUGAAUAGCCUUAUUUCAAGCGCGAAUCCAUGGGCUAAAACAGGGGAAUGAUUCAAAAUAUGAUUUGAAUAAAAACAGGGCGCAAUUUCUACCAUCAAAUCCGAAGAUGGACAUGUAUGCAAAUUAUUUUCGGAUGGGAUCAAUGGCCUUAACAGAAUGAAGAACAUAUCAAACAGACAAAGAUUCAAUUUCAACACAGCAACUUGUGGCCCUUUCCGUCCACACUAAUCAACAAAAUAAAUGCCCAGAACCAUCGAAGAAUCAUCAAGAAUCGAAUAAGAUAAAGCAUAGGAAAUAGCUGAAAACGUACUUGGGCAGUCUUGGCUGCAAUCGCUUGGCUUCCCGCUCCUUUGUGUUUUUUUUUUUUUUUUCAAAAUCCCCGUGAACCGUUCUCUCUUUUCCUUCAAGAUAAUUUCUUCUCCCUCCUUCCCCUAACCUUCCUUUACGUAUAUAUCUCAGAAAAAGGACCCCCAAAUCUGUUCCAAAAAGGAAAAUCCCCAUUUCUUUUUUUUUUCUUCUUCUUUUUUGCAAUCCUUCUUUUUUAUGUAUUUGUAUCAGCCUCCCAGAAACUCAAUCUGCUGAAGGAAAUCUACUUUCUUUUCUUCCAUUUCGUUUCCUUUUCGAAAAUUAGAAUACCUCUCCCUUACCUUUGGAGAAUCCUUUCCUCCCAUGUAUGCAGCCAAGUCGAUCUCUUCCUUCCAAAAAUAUUUUUGCUUGCCUUCUUUGAGUGUGCAUGCCUUUGUGAGAGUUGAUCAACAACCCCAAUUCUCUUGUCAAACAAUAAAAAUGAAAAUAAAAAGAAUCAAACCAAAAAGAGUUAGCAAUCUUGCAACAUAUAAAAGAAUAAAGUAAAAUAAAAUAAAUAAAUAAAGUAAAACAAAAUAAUAAAAUAAAAUAAAAUAAAAUGGUCAAUACUAUGUGGGCCAUGCAAGUCAUACGACUAUGUGAAACAUGUAAGAAAUGCUAAAAAUAGUCUAAUAGGCCAAAUGUGCCUAAGAGGGCCUAGGUGAACUUAGACGGGCCUAGGGUGAAACUAGGUGGGUCUAACUAAGUCUAACCUAAAGUGCACCUAAGUGAAGCCUAAUCUAAACUUGAAGGGCAGCCAAGGUCAUAAUGUGGAGCUGGAUAAACCCCUCAACCAAAGUCCCCAAAGUGGCUCAGAAAAAAGGUAAGCAGUAUAAGUAGUAAUGAAACACCAAGGAAUUACUGUGGAGCACUGGAAGUGAACUUAAAGACAUGUACUAAAUGGACAAAAUGGAGGGUCUACAACUAGAUAACAUAUUCCCUUCCAUUAUCAGAUCUCAAGAAUUGGAUUUGAGUUAAAUUAAACACUCAUCAUUUUAUAGAAAACAGAAAAUAUAGUACUAACAUCUAACUUUUGUUUCAUAAGAUAGACCCUAGGAACUCUUGUACAAUCAUCAAUAAAAGACAAACUAUUUUGCCCUAGAAAUACUUUAGACCUUUGGAGGUCCCAAACAUCAAUAUAAAUAAAACUAAAUAGAAUAGAAUUUCUUUUAUUAUUCAUAGGAAAAGACACUCGAUGCUAUUUAGCAAGUUCAUAAACAUCACAAUGAUUAUUUUGAAUAUCUAAUUUUUCAAACAAAUUAGCAAACAUUUUCUUUAAUAAUGUAAAUUAUGGAUGACGAAGACAAAGAUAAAGUAACCAUCUUCAGUUUUAUUAAACCUAGAACUUUCGAAUAAAUGGGAAAGAGGAUGUGAACAUUUUGUACCACUUUCAGUUUCAAAGAGGUACAAUCUAUCUUCUCUCUAGCAUGCCCAAUCAUCAUCCACAUACAAAGUUCCUAAAAAAAACUCAGAAGGUGAAAAUUUCAUGGAGCAAACCAAAUUUUUGAUAACUUUACAAAUAGAUAACAAGUUAACAUAAAGCCUUGGAACGUGCAAAACAAUUUCAUGCAUGAUAUCUUUAGCCAAAGAGAUAUUUCAUUGACCAACUAUGGUGACAAACAUUCCAUCUGCUUGAUUUCCUAUGCAUGAGCUGUAAGUUAGGAAGCAACUUGAAGAAUUGGUCAUAUUGCCCAAAGCUCCUAAAUUAAUGACUAAGGGCUUAAAACUUGCUCUUUUAAGACAUUUAUGACAAGAGAAUACUUAUGUGUCCAAGAAAAACAUGUUAUCCCCCCAGACUUCUCAAAUCAUGAUAGGAAUUGCUUCAAUUUUUCGAUAUCUUCUCUAUUCAAUUCUCCCUCUUUGUUGGCAUUUAUGUCUAGAGGUUUUUCAUCAAUGUUGGCAAGAUUAGCAUGAGGUUUAUACUCUUGGUUCUUUCCUCGACCUCCAUUUCCUUUUCCAAAAACAUUUAGAGGUUUUCCAUGGAGUUGGUAGCAUGACUCUCUACUAUGUCUCGGCACAAGUACACCACUCAAAAUCCUCAUCACUAGACCUCCUGCCUUCAUUCUUUCCUGAGCUUAUGGUUAAGUCAGUAGUAGUAGUAGUAGCGAUGGUUUGGCUAUCAACAGCGGCAACACUGUUUUUUGGUUGGACUGACUCAUAAAAGGAAGAGUCUUUUUACCAAGAAUUUGGACUCUGAUUAAAUCAAAAUCAUUAAGCAAUCUAACCAAGAAACAAAAACUCUCUCCUUCUCAUGAACUCUUGCUACAUUGUCACAUCUUUGUCACACUCCAUUUUUAAAUUCUAAUACUAAUGUAAUUUGAGCCACAACCCCUGUAUAACAUUGUAGUAUUCAAGGACUGAAAGAUUAUCUUAUUUGGUAUUAUGAAUUCUAGUCUUUAUUUUAUAAAUCUAAGCAACAUCUCCAACCUUGAAUAGGUUUGAUGGACAGCCUCCCGAAUCUCCCUUGAUGUAGAGAGAAACAUACAAGUUCCACUGAUCUCUGACAGUAUUAAGUUUCAUUUUCAAGGCAAUAUCUACAAGUCUUCCUUACUCAUCUUUGGCCCGAAUAAAUAACUUAAUUACCAUUUUCCCUUCAGGUAUUUUUUUAUUUUAUUAAUUGUGACCACUCUAGGUAAUUGCCUCAAUUCAGUUUAAAUGUGGCUAGAAUACUCUACAAUUCUCCCUAGGAUUGGGAAUGGUUAUCACUGUUUAUGGUUGUUUGCAUAGUGGUGAAAGAGGCUAAAUUUUUCUGUCAUCAUUGGUUGAGUAGUAAUAAGAUGAGAUUAUUGUAAUGGGGAGGACACACCAGAUAACAACAGACAUUGAAAAAUGGGUUAUGAACCAAUCCCUUGAACCAUUGCCGACAAUGAAGGCUGAAAGAGUGCAUGAAUGAUUCCAGCAAUUAAGGCUGGAAAAAAUUGGGACCAAUGCCAAAAAUUAGAGUCGGUAGACAGAAAGAAAGAAAGAAAGAAAGAAAGAAAAGAAAAGAAAAAAAAACUACUAUGCACAAGGCUAUGAUACCAUGAAUAUAGAGAAUGAUUUCUGAAUAAUACUAGAGUUUUUACUAGAUAUAUUUACAAUCUAUUUAUAAUGUUUACAAGGGCAAAAAGAAAUGGAAAUUACUCUAUUUUAGGCUUAGAAUUACUCCACUAAAUUACUGGAAAUAAAUCUGCUAUUGAAUUAGUCCCUAAUUACAGGAAAUAAAUCAAGUGAACUAUACAGAAAAAGCAACAAAACUUAUUGCACCGAUUCUCUAACAAAAACAAACACAAUUUGCAUAUUGAUAAAAAUCACACAAAAUUACAGUGUGUUUUUAAAGGUGAAAUAUCCCCUAUGGCAGUGUCAAAUAAUGCCCCCAGGGCCAGACAACAACAACAUUGGGUUAUAGGAACUAUAACACUUACUACCAACAUAGGAGAUCACCCAUAUUUGGCCUGGACAACAGAUCAAAAUCACAAUGGAGGGUUUUAGGGUGAAACACUACAAGAGCGGAGACCCCUGACAUAAGUUAAUUGAGCGUCCAAAAAAUAUUGGCGAUAACUGCUCAAUAUUGUGCUUUGAAGCAGGUUAUUUGUGUGAAUACGUUGCAACAUUGAGUGGUUAUCAUGUUUUUCACUCGGUUUAAUCCCAUUUUGUCUACUAAUGUGAUUUAUAAGUAUUUUAUGGUGAUUGUCAUGCAGGAUUGCACAAGUAUAUUGGCACAACUUGUGGUUGCCAAAUGAUCAAUGGUGAGCAAGGUUCUGAACUGCUAGUGAGAAAAAAUGCAAGUGGCUUGAAGAUUAGCAAAAUUUGAGCAUAAAACAAAGCAUUUGAAUCAUGGGAAAUCGCCUAGCAGUUUCCAUACAGUGAGGAUAGCACUCUGCAUGUAAAAUAGAAGAAUGAAAUCAUAGUGAAAGCUCCAGGUACUUAGACAGUGCUAUAGGAUGGCAGUUUCACUUGUGUGUUUUGUUUCAACAUAAGUUGGGAAGUGUCUGUCACCUAAAAGCACCAUGUGUUGGUGGUUUCACUAAAGUGUGCACUGCAUUCUCAUUUAUGCCAAAGUGCCAGUUUUGUUUCAAAAAGUUUGCACACUCUAGGUGGUUUAAAAGGUGGUUAGAGGCUCAAAUAAAAAAAAAGUUGGUUGAUGGAAGGCCACUUAAUGCUUGCAUGAUGUUCUAUUCAGCUCCUUAAGCACCAUUUGUCUAAAAACUCUAUUGGUUGUAUUAGUUAGAAAUCUUUUUCAGCUUUCAUCAUUGUAAGCAUUCUCUCUUCACUUAACAAACAUGAGAAUGGAUAGGUGAUCCACAAUUAGGUUUGGCUAAGGUUUUUGUUUUUGAAGAAAGGAUGAAUUUUGGUUGAAGAUCCAACUCUCUAAAAUGGGAUUUGGUUGGAGAUAUUUGAUGGUAUAAAUCCAUUUUUUGUGUUUUGCUAAUAAGAAUUGAAGUUUUCUCCUUUGUUGUUCUCUAAUCUGAGGCUGCUUUAUUCUUAUUAACAUAUUUUAAAUGCUUAACUAUAUUUCGAUUUAAAAAAUUUUCAACUUGAUCAAUUAACUCCAAAAUCAGUUGAAUUUUAUAGUGGAAUCCAUUUUAAACUGAUUAAAGUGAAUCUACAAAUUAAGUGAUCAAUCUUUAUUGUAUUUUGAAGAGAUUUUUAACAGAAAAAUCAUCCAGGAACACUUUUAUACAAGAGGUCACAUGGCAAAGAAUUUGGAAACCAAUUUAAUGGAAUUCUCUGGAUGGAAUUUGCUCUCCAACGGUUUUUAAUCUCUGUUUUCUUCAAAUUUAAACACAUUCUGGAUUCCUAAAGCAAUCACUCAACAUUAUUUUCUCAAAUUUUUACUAAUAAUGAUCUCUUAAAACCAUUUUCCCAACAUAAUCCAUUUCCAUCUUGAUUUUCUUCCCCUUCUCUGAUCUAUGUUUCUUUAAGAGGUCCUUAUGAGAGCACUUAUAAAAGCUUGAGUUAGAAGAUGAGGCCAACAACACAAAAUUCUUUCAUCCUAAGGAAAAUGUACAUUGAUGAUGUUUAAUUUAUUUUAGUUUUGUUGUAUUGUAAGGGGCUAAAGUUUGAAAAAAAAAAAAAUCAGAAAAUUCAUUUCUGAUUCAAAUUUUAUAACUUUAGUGUUGUUGUUUUCGUUUUUGAAUAAGGAAUCUACAAAAAUUCAUGGAUUCUAAUUUCAUAGAGAAUUGGAUAUGUUACGAAACAAAAAUUGUGGUUUCCAUGUGGUUGAAUUUUUGUUUCGGUUUUAGAAGUUUUUGAAUUUAUCUUAGAUUCAUUUCUUAUCCAAAUUAAGCUUUGGAUUUAUCUUAAAUUCAUUUCUUAUCUAAAUUAAGUGAUUUUUAUUUUUUAUUUUUUUUCAAUUUUUUAGUAAGGAUGGUCAAGAAAAUUUUGGAUCCAAUUUUUCUUGAAAAAUAAGAGAGAAAAUGGUCAAUUUCUCGAUCAAAGUGUACAAAAUUAGGGCAAUUUAAUUUAUUUUUAAGUCAAGAAUAAAUAGCAAUAUAUUUUGUUUAUUUUGAAUAAAAAAUUCAACAAGUAUUAUAGAAGUUGAAAGCUGAAAAGAUAGAAGAGAAAUUUGAAAUUUUCCACUAUAAAAAAGUAAAAAUUAAAAUAAAAUAAAAUAAUGACUUUUUCCAUUGAGACAAAAUUAUUUUUAAAAAAGUGAUAAGUUAAAAAAAACAAGACAACUCUAAAAUUUCUCAAGUCUUAAAACAAGUACUUAAGUAAAAAAGACAAACAAUGCCUUAGACAUGAUGGGUUGUUUUUUCACUCAAUCUCAAUGUAUGAAAAUCGGCAAGUCAAAUAAUGUCCUUUCCCAUGCAGCUACCCACAUGGAAAAACCACCUUUGAGAAGACAGAGUUCCCAUGUCUUGUUUUCUGGAAAAUCCUCCCCUACUUCAACAAAUAGCUUCUUGAAGAAAACUUGCACAGCAGCCAUCAGCCUCUAAGUUUACACCAUGACAUCCAUACUCUCACUCGUGAAAUCAACACUUUUAAGGUCGGUCCGAGAAGAAAUCAACCAGUCCCAUCUCUCAAAUCGAAUUCCCUAAUGGACCUCAAACUCCAAGACCCCAUCUCUUGGGAUGAGCUCUAUAAUCUACCACCUUUGCCAUGCUAUUCACAAUAAGUCUAAAUAAAUCUGGAAAGCUCUCCUUCAAUGGUUGAUCAAAGUAAGCUAGAUUCAAGGACAGGGCUUCCCUUUAGAGAAGCCUGAACAGUGGAUUUUUUUAAAGUUCUGGUCCGGUUAAUCGGAAGGAUAGGUGUGACUGUCACCCAACAAAAUAUGAGUAGAACUACUCUAGGUUUUUCCCCUCCUCCUUCGAACAUCCCUGUCCAUUACGAUCCUCCACAACCAUUUUAUUAACAACCUUCUAGUGAGAUUUUCCAACCUACUUACCUUUGGAAGAACAACUGCCUCCCACCUCACAAAAGGCAUCCUCCAUUCUCUUUUAAGGAUCCCACCUUUUGUCCCUUUCUAAUUAAAUCUUGAAAUACAUCAUCAAUAUGCUGAUCAUCUCCAGCAUAGUUAUAAGCAAGGAAUGGGGGAUUAAGUGACCUUGACGCAGUACUUUGGAGGUUUCCAAACACCUCUAUGAAGUCCCAUUAACCAAGGUCUAGAAAAUGAUAAUAACCAUCGAAAUGCAGCUUAUAUCUAGUCCCACCCAUUUCUCCCUAGUCUCCUCCUUGAAAGCCACCAUGGUUAUAAGCAUUUAGGCUGUCUAACUUACAUACUACCAUAACCCUCCUAGUCUUAACUCUUAAAUCAAUUCUCUUGUUUGCAAUAAAAAAACAAAAGGUUUAUUGGAUUCUGUAUAGGCCAUGAAGGAAUUGAUGUGGGUUUUGUCAAAGAAAGUUUCACUACAAAGAGGAGAAGAGAGAGAGAGAGAGAGGGAGAGAAGCGGGGAGAGGGAGAGGGAGAUUUGGCAGGCUGCUUCAUUUUAGGUGGUUUGGUGGAUUUGGAGAUGGUGGAAUAUAGGCCAUGAAGGAAUUGAUGUGGGUUUUGUCAAAGAAAGUUUCACUACAAAGAGGAGAAGAGAGAGAGAGAGAGAGAGAGAGGGAGAGAAGCGGGGAGAGGGAGAGGGAGAGGGAGAUUUGGCAGGCUGCUUCAUUUUAGGUGGUUUGGUGGAUUUGGAGAUGGUGGAACAUAAGAGGUCUCUAUAAAGAAACUAAGAAAAAACUCUUUGAGAUCUCUAAUGAUUUUCUUGACAGGAAGUUAGUAUUUUGUUCUUCAUUUAAAGUCUUUUAGAUAGUAAGGCCAAUAUUUGCUAUUGUUUUUCCUGCCUUUUUUUCCCUUAAGUUUUUCUUCUUGCACAAACCAUGCAUAUUAAUGUUUCAACCCUUUGGCAUCUCUAACUGAUCUUUCUUGCUUAUUUAUUUAUUAAUAGAGGCUUUAUGGUUAAGCCAAUCAACAAGAUAGCUAUUCUUUUCUUAUCUCUUAUUUUUCCACUCUUCUUUUCUAUUUCUUUCUUUGUCUUUUCUACCAAAGAACUAUCAUAUUCUAUCUCAUUUCUCAAGAUGGAUGGUUUUAUACUUCUCAAUACCGUGUAUGCUCAUUUAUUGUCUGUCUCAUCCUUCCUGUUGUUUUUGAACUACUAGUGACCUUGCAUAUAUAUAUAAAAUUAAGUCAAAAAGCAAAGUAGGAUCUGUGAAACCAAAGUUUGGUUAAUCUUGAUUUUGAUGAUAACAAAAUAAGGUUUAGUACUAAUGAUUAUAUUUCAAGUGUGAUUAGGCAAGACGAUUUCCAAAGUGGCAAUCACAAAGACAAAUUAAGCCAAGGAGAAAUCAUGAAGAAGAAGACCACCUUAAAGAGAAGAGUUUUUCAAAGACCCAAGCUUCAUAAGAUCUCUUUGUAAGGUUGUUGGUGCACUAGGACUUUCAUGCAUUUCAUUCUUUAUUUAUGAACCAAAAUCAUCUAAGAGUAAUAUUGUUUUAAAUAUCUUAAGAAUUGGAUUUAUUAUUUAUAAUAUAUAUAUCUUAAGAAUUGGAUGAUUUCAUGUUUUCAACUAAAACAUUGUAUUAAAUAUCUUUCAAACUAGUUUUAAAGGUUUUAAAGUUGAAAAAGAUUGGGCGUUGAGCCAAAAAAUGGCUCAACCGGUUGAAGAACCGGUCGACCGGUUGUGCUCGUCCAGUCAAGGGAGGCCAAAAGGUUUCUCUCUCUCCCAAUGGCCUUCUCUUCCCGGUCGAGGUAAUUCUCUUCUCGGACGAGGUCCGGUCGAGGACUAGUCGAGGUCCAGUUGAGGCCCAACGGUCACCUGCCAAGCAUUUAAUGCUAACGGCUAGUCAACCGGUCGACCCCUAGCUCGACCGGUCGAACCCCCAAAUGGCUAGUUUGGCUUUUCUCUUCUAUAAAAAGGCUCAAAUCUUCAUUGUUUACAAGCUUAAUCUUCCCAAAUCUUUCUUGAUUAUAUUUGAGCAUUGGAAGAGUAUUUUUUAGUGCACCAUUAUUUCAAAACUUGCAUAUCUUUAGUGCAUCAUUCAAUCCUAGUUUUUCUUGUAUCAUUUGAGCUUAAAGUUCUUGUGCUAGGAUUUUUGUGAGAUCUUUUAUUUGUAAAUCCUUGAGAGGAAGUUGUUCAAGAGUGGGAUAUCUCUUGAGAAGUGUAAAAGGUGCUUGGAGCCAAAAGUCCAAGAGGGUGAAUUGGAACCAUAAUCCAAUUGUAUUGCUUGAAGGCUUGGUUUGGAAGCCUUGGAUUAGUGGAACCUCAAGCUUGGGAUUGAAGCUAGAGGAGAGUGGAUGUAGGCCGGGUUGCGCCGAACCACUAUAAACUCUUGUGUUUGCAUUCUCUCUUC